AAUGCCUAGGAAUCUGCCUGGUAGUGGGGGAUACGUUCGGAAACGGACGCUAAUACCGCAUACGUCCUACGGGAGAAAGCAGGGGACCUUCGGGCCUUGCGCUAUCAGAUGAGCCUAGGUCGGAUUAGCUAGUUGGUGAGGUAAUGGCUCACCAAGGCGACGAUCCGUAACUGGUCUGAGAGGAUGAUCAGUCACACUGGAACUGAGACACGGUCCAGACUCCUACGGGAGGCAGCAGUGGGGAAUAUUGGACAAUGGGCGAAAGCCUGAUCCAGCCAUGCCGCGUGUGUGAAGAAGGUCUUCGGAUUGUAAAGCACUUUAAGUUGGGAGGAAGGGUUGUAGAUUAAUACUCUGCAAUUUUGACGUUACCGACAGAAUAAGCACCGGCUAACUCUGUGCCAGCAGCCGCGGUAAUACAGAGGGUGCAAGCGUUAAUCGGAAUUACUGGGCGUAAAGCGCGCGUAGGUGGUUUGUUAAGUUGGAUGUGAAAUCCCCGGGCUCAACCUGGGAACUGCAUUCAAAACUGACUGACUAGAGUAUGGUAGAGGGUGGUGGAAUUUCCUGCGUAGCGGUGAAAUGCGUAGAUAUAGGAAGG
rnacentral:rRNA from 1 species